AUAAUGGUGUCUGGUUGGAUUUAUGAUUAUGAUUGUGAGGUUUUAGUCCAAACACGCGACGAUUCAUCCUGAACGCGUUCGUCUUCAGGUUCACACUUCACCGUUCUACUCCCUCAUUGUUGCAGGAAGCCAGGAAUUUGAUUUGAUUGAUUACUUAACCAUUUCCUAAUUAGCUUGCUCUGUUUUUUUUCUCUUUUUUAAAUCCUAUGCUACUGCUAAUUUCCGCUUUGGUUCUUAACUGUUCGAAGUCUGUAGUUGGAUCAUUCGUCAGGAUUUCUGGAUUUUACACAAUUGUUAUUGUAUUUCUCUGUUUACUGCUUCUGAUUUACAUAGAAAAGGUUUUGUUGCUGAUGUUUUUUCGUGAAUCGACUGCUUCGAAGGACAAAUCUGUUUCCGCUUGUUUUCUCGCCUUUGUUCGACUGUUCUAAGUUUCUAGUUGGAUCAUUCACCUGGAUUUUGGAUUUUAUGCAAAUUUGUUAUUAUAUUUCUAUUAUUUAAAUUGAAAAGGUUUUGUUUCUGGUUUUUUCGCGAAUCGACUGUUUUGAGGUAGAAAUCCGCUGGACAUUGAGGAACUUCCUCGCAGAAAUCGGAUACGGCGGAGAGCGCCGUAGCGUUUCUGCUCGGACAACUGUCGGCGUGGCUCGGCGAGGAGACGAACUUGCUCGGCGGUCUUCGAUUGGAAGCCCUAGCCAUUUAUGGCGAGCUGCAGCAAAUGGUAGCGUUUCUCAGAGAUGAAGAUGCCAGAGAACGAACCGAUCCCAAAUUGAACGAACUGCUGCGGCAAGUGCGCGAAAUUGCUUACGAAAUCGAAGAUGUUCUCAAGAGCUACAUCCUCCUAUCUGGAAGCCGCAGACAAUUCUAUUCUGCGGUGAAGAACUUAUGAGCUAAGCAUAAUCUGGCUUCUGAAAUCAGAGCACUUAGAUCCAGAUUAUAGUCUGCUUUCAAAACAUUCAGAGACAUGUCUGCAGCGCUGCUGGAAUCGAGCUCGACGUCGACUGCGAAUGACGGAUACUACGACGGUCGAGGCGAUGCAUUGUUCUUGCCGGAAGCGGAUGUGGUGGGGAUCGAAACGCCGAAGAAUCAGCUCAUCAAGUGGAUAUCGGCCGAUGAUUAUAAGUCGAAAGUGAUUUCGGUGGUGGGAAUGGCCGGAUUGGGUAAGACUACGAUGAUCCAUUGGUGAAGGAUGGCUUCGAUCAUCAUGCUUGGAUCACUGUCUCGGAGACGUACAAGCUCGAAAAUCUUCUGCUCGACUUGAUUAGGCAGCUAUUAGAAGAGGUGAGACAGUAUGAGGGAGUUCAUUCACAGUUCCUCGAAAAUGAAAAGUAUAUCGUCCUUCUCGACAAUAUUUGGAGCACAAACGUGUGGGAAGCGCUGCAAUAUGUGUUUCCGAGAAGCAGCGCGCACGAUCAGGGCUGCAAUGUCAUCACUAGUCGCUCGAGCGACAUAGGCUACACCGCUUGUUAGGAGAGUGGUGGCCAUGUCUAUCAUUUGCAGCCAUUGCCUCCACAAGAAGCUGAGAAGUUAUUUCACUUAAAGGCAUUCGUCGGUCUCCCCUGUCCCAACCAUCUCGUCGAGAUUUCAAGAAACAUCGCCAUCGUUUUAAUCGGCGGAGCUCUAGCCACCAAGGUAAAUAGAAUGGAAGAAUGGAUACGGUUUAGCAUUAGUCUGGCGUCUGAGGCGAAUGGCGAUGUUUUUAAGAGGAUGUGGCGAUUAUUGUCUCUUAUUUAUCACGACUUGCCGUAAUACUCGAAAAGUUGCCUCUUGUACUUGAGUAUUUUCCUGGAGGACGAGUUGCUCGAAAAGGGUACUAUAACUCGACUGUGGAUAGCCGAAGGAUUCGUGAAGGCAAGGGAAGGGAAGACAAUGGAAGAUAUUGCCGAGCAAUAUCUCUACGAGUUGACAAACCGAAGUCUAGUCCAAGUAGCCUCAACAUAUGACGAUGAUAGACCAAGAAAUUUCCGUCUCCACGACCUUGUGUGAGAGUAUGCUAUUUCAAAGAUAGAACAAAACAUGGUAAGUAGAAAUGACAUGGAUAGAUCGAACCUGGCGCCUAGCACUUGAUUAUAGCUUUAUCAAUUACAAUGAGAAAAUCGAUAGCUUUGGGUAUCUACAUACUCUUCUAUUUUGGGGUUCGGUUGAUAUGGGUUGGGCAUCGAUCCUACGGAAAGUUUUGCAUGGUAGAUGUAUAUUGUUGAGGGUUCUAGAAUUACGAAGAGCUCCGUUGGAAACUAUACCGGACGAGGUUUUCAAGUUAUAUCUUCUCAAGUAUCUAAGCUUAAGGAAUACGAAUGUCUCAGUCGUUUCAAAACUUAUGGGAAAUCUUGUAAGUCUCGAGAUGUUAGAUCUCAAGGGAUGUAAAGUGGUCGAAUUGCCUGUUGAGAUUCUAAAGCUUCAAAAGCUACGCAAUCUCUUGUUGUAUGCAUAUGAAUUGCCUGUUGAGAUUCUAAAGCUUCGAAAGCUACGCGAUCUCUUGUUGUAUGCGUAUAAAGUUGAAAUUCCUCACAUUGUGUUCGAUUAUAUACAAAGCUUCGAGGCUCUAUAUGAGAUCGGGACAUUGUCAUGUUUACAAGUGCAAAGAUUGUGAGACAAAUAGGGGAAUUGACGAAGUUGCGGAAGUUAGGAAUUUCGAAGUUGAGAAAUGAAGAUGGAAAGGAGCUUUGCUCGUCUCUUGUGAAGCUUACUCACCUAAGAUCGCUCGUUGUUUCAUCACGCGAGGAAGAAGAAGUAAUCGACCUUGGGUUUUGUUUACCACAAUGGAUUGCCUCGCUUAAAGCACUCACACGUUGAACGGUAGCAUGAAGUCGGAUGCAUGAGGUGGUGGAGGCUAUAGCUCAUGUUCUGGAGGUUGCCAUUGGAAAAUAUGUCGAUGGCGAAUGGAAAACAUGACGAGCAUUUUAACUUCGGUUUGAUGCUACAAGGACGCGCCCGGAGAUAUGUCUGAAGACAGGGCGACUUCGGGACAGAAAGUUGAGGCUUCCACUGAGAACUCUGCAAAGGCAAAGAUUCAAAUAUGUUAAACUAGCAAACAUGGUGAAAUUAAGAAAGCUGAUGCUGCUUAGGCAUUUGAAAAUCUCAACAAUACCUUCACCUCAGUAGUAGCUUCUGACGAUGACGCCAAAGAGGAUGUUUCGGGGUUAUGAUUCGCCCUUGACAUAGUUUCCAAAUGAAAUUCCUGACCACAAAACCACGGACUAAGUAAAUAGCUCAAAAGUGCUAGCACAUCAUGUUAUACUUUAAACCUAUUCGGUGAUUCUGUUUACCUUGAACCUUGGAGGCUGAGGCGCCGUCCUUGGCAAUGGCGGCAAAGGUGUGGCCUCGAAUAUCUAAAAGACAAAUGUUCAUUUAGAAAACAAUGACAUCCUUGUACCUCUUAUUGGUAGGAAUGAAAAAUCUAUUACCUUUUUAUUUAAGGGACGAGCCUUGAACUUAGGAAUGUUAGCCAUCAUCUCUUCCUCUAGUUCGGCUGAGCUUUUGACUUUAAUAGGGCGUGCCCUUUGCGAGGUAAGGAAUUCCGGUGUUUUGGGCCUGGUCAGCACAAGUUUAGGCUUCCCCUG